rnacentral:rRNA from 1 species
GGAGUUAGCCGGUGCUUCUUCUGCGAGUAACGUCACAGAUGUAAGGUAUUAACUUACACCCUUUCCUCCUCGCUGAAAGUGCUUUACAACCCGAAGGCCUUCUUCACACACGCGGCAUGGCUGCAUCAGGGUUUCCCCCAUUGUGCAAUAUUCCCCACUGCUGCCUCCCGUAGGAGUCUGGGCCGUGUCUCAGUCCCAGUGUGGCUGAUCAUCCUCUCAGACCAGCUAGGGAUCGUCGCCUAGGUGAGCCUUUACCUCACCUACUAUCUAAUCCCACCUGGGCUUAUCCAUCAGCGCAAGGCCCGAAGGUCCCCUGCUUUCCCCCGUAGGGCGUAUGUGGUAUUAGCAGUCGUUUCCAACUGUUAUCCCCCACAAAUGGGCAAAUUCCCAGGCAUUACUCACCCGUCCGCCGCUCGUCAUCUUCAAAGCAAGCUUUUGAAAUGUUACCGCUCGACUUGCAUGUGUUAGGCCUGCCGCCAGCGUUCAAUCUGAGCCAGAAUCGAACCCUGA